rnacentral:rRNA from 1 species
GAUGAACGCUGGCGGCGUGCCUAAUACAUGCAAGUCGAGCGAACAGACGAGGAGCUUGCUCCUCUGACGUUAGCGGCGGACGGGUGAGUAACACGUGGAUAACCUACCUAUAUGACUGGGAUAACUUCGGGAAACCGGAGCUAAUACCGGAUAAUAUAUUGAACCGCAUGGUUCAAUAGUGAAAGACGGUUUUGCUGUCACUUAUAGCUGGAUCCGCGCCGCAUUAGCUAGUUGGUAAGGUAACGGCUUACCAAGGCGACGAUGCGUAGCCGACCUGAGAGGGUGAUCGGCCACACUGGAACUGAGACACGGUCCAGACUCCUACGGGAGGCAGCAGUAGGGAAUCUUCCGCAAUGGGCGAAAGCCUGACGGAGCAACGCCGCGUGAGUGAUGAAGGUCUUCGGAUCGUAAAACUCUGUUAUUAGGGAAGAACAGAUGUGUAAGUAACUAUGCACGUCUUGACGGUACCUAAUCAGAAAGCCACGGCUAACUACGUG